rnacentral:misc_RNA from 1 species
AAGUCGUAACAAGGUUUCCGUAGGUGAACCUGCGGAAGGAUCAUUAACGAAUUUUGGGCCGAAAGGCCUCUGAUUCCACACUGUGUUUUAAGCGAGCGAUCUUUAUAAGCCGGAGACGGCGAGUGAAGGGAGACGCGAAACAAAUGUCUAUAGUCACAUAUAUGACAAACUUUUAAAAAAUUAAAACUUUCAACAACGGAUCUCUUGGUUCUG